rnacentral:hammerhead_ribozyme from 1 species
GACGAGUCCCAAAUAGGACGAAAUGCGCGUCCUGGAU